rnacentral:tRNA from 1 species
AUUUAAAUAGCUUAAAAUUUAAGAGCAUAAUAUUGAAGAUAUUAAAGUGAUCUUAUGAUCUUUAAAUA